UACGUAGGGGGCAAGCGUUGUCCGGAUUUAUUGGGCGUAAAGAGCGUGUAGGCGGCCAUACAGGUCCGUCUGAAUGGAAACGUGAGCUUAAACCUCCAGACGUCGAUGGAAACCGUAUGGCUAGAGUCCGGAAGAGGAGAGUGGAAUUCCUGGUGUAGCGGUGAAAUGCGCAGAUAUCAGGAAGAACACCCGUGGCGAAGGCGG
rnacentral:rRNA from 1 species